rnacentral:tRNA from 1 species
GUCUGUUGUAGCCUAGUGGCCAAGGUUAGUCUUGGAAACACGGGGUCCUGGGUUCAAGCCCAGCUAGGGACA